CCUACGGGGUGCUGCAGUCGAGAAUCAUUCACAAUGGGGGAAACCCUGAUGGUGCGACGCCGCGUGGGGGAAUGAAGGUCUUCGGAUUGUAAACCCCUGUCAUGUGGGAGCAAAUUAAAAAGAUAGUACCACAAGAGGAAGAGACGGCUAACUCUGUGCCAGCAGCCGCGGUAAUACAGAGGUCUCAAGCGUUGUUCGGAAUCACUGGGCGUAAGGCGUGCGUAGGCUGUUUCGUAAGUCGUGUGUGAAAGGCGCGGGCUCAACCCGCGGACGGCACAUGAUACCGCGAGACUAGAGUAAUGGAGGGGGAACCGGAAUUCUCGGUGUAGCAGUGAAAUGCGUAGAUAUCGAGAGGAACACUCGUGGCGAAGGCGGGUUCCUGGACAUUAACUGACGCUGAGGCACGAAGGCCAGGGGAGCGAAAGGGAUUAGAUACCCUUGUAGUC
rnacentral:rRNA from 1 species